ACACACACACACACAUAUGUACUAGAAAGAACGACAGAUUACAACAUCAGUGAUGUCUCUAUGUUCAUUCCUACACUCGUUUCAAUAAUUCUUGUAUCACAUCAGUAUUAUUAUUAUUAUUAUUCAAUAUGUAAGAAUCACAUUUCCAAGGAACAAUUUCCAUAGAAAAACAUAUGUGUAUGUUUAAUAACUGUUGUUUCAUUAAUAUCAUGGUCUCACAACAAUGUUCAAGAGGCAUUUGGACACAAUGUACUGCUGUAGCGAUUGAGGAAGUAGAAACAUGCUAUAUAUGAGUAAGUAUAUAGAACAAAGGAUGAAUAUGCCUCAAUGGAUUCUAUAAUUCUUUCAAGCAAAAUGAAAUCACUACAUGCACCGUCUCAAUAAUUUACAUAUGUUUUGUAUAAAAAGGAAAUAUUUGUUUCCAUUGCUAAGAAUUUGUAAAUUAUUUCUGGCUGAACUUGGAUAUUUAUUGAUGCUCAAACUGAAAUCAGUCAAGCCUUGAUUACCUUGAUGAGUCCAUGGUAACAGUAAAGAUUGCAACAGUGAAGAAGUAUAUAAGAUCAAUAUAAGAACCAGUUUGAGACAGAAAAGAACAACGGGUCCAUUGCUGGGAUAUGAACCAAGUCUUUAACUCAAUAUAAUAUACACCAACACGCCCCACUCUCUCUCAAAAUAGGGACUUAAAUUAAUUUUUCCAUUACUAUUUUUGAAAUUUUGAGUUAAUUUUAUCUCUACAAGAUAAACUCCAUCUACCUACCUGUAUAUAUAUUGGUCGUUACCAGUACUGCCUGACUGGCCCCUGUG